rnacentral:rRNA from 1 species
CACAUGCAAGUCGAGGGGAAACGACAUCGAAAGCUUGCUUUUGAUGGGCGUCGACCGGCGCACGGGUGAGUAACGCGUAUCCAACCUGCCCAUCACUUGGGGAUAACCUUGCGAAAGUAAGACUAAUACCCAAUGACGUCUCUAGAAGACAUCUGAAAGGGAUUAAAGAUUUAUCGGUGAUGGAUGGGGAUGCGUCUGAUUAGCUUGUUGGCGGGGUAACGGCCCACCAAGGCUACGAUCAGUAGGGGUUCUGAGAGGAAGGUCCCCCACAUUGGAACUGAGACACGGUCCAAACUCCUACGGGAGGCAGCAGUGAGGAAUAUUGGUCAAUGGACGAGAGUCUGAACCAGCCAAGUAGCGUGCAGGAUGACGGCCCUAUGGGUUGUAAACUGCUUUUAUAAGGGAAUAAAGUGAGUCUCGUGAGGCUUUAUGCAUGUACCUUAUGAAUAAGGACCGGCUAAUUCCGUGCCAGCAGCCGCGGUAAUACGGAAGGUCCGGGCGUUAUCCGGAUUUAUUGGGUUUAAAGGGAGCGUAGGCCGGAGAUUAAGCGUGUUGUGAAAUGUAGAUGCUCAACAUCUGCACUGCAGCGCGAACUGGUUUCCUUGAGUACGCACAAAGUGGGCGGAAUUCGUGGUGUAGCGGUGAAAUGCUUAGAUAUCACGAAGAACUCCGAUUGCGAAGGCAGCUCACUGGAGCGCAACUGACGCUGAAGCUCGAAAGUGCGGGUAUCGAACAGGAUUAGAUACCCUGGUAGUCCGCACGGUAAACGAUGGAUGCCCGCUGUUGGUUUGAAUAGGUCAGCGGCCA